UUACUUUGGUUUCUCUUCAUAAAGCACAAGUCUUUCACCUUUCACCUUUUACUAAAGCCUUCCGUGAAGAGGAACACAAAUGAGUUGAACCUAUUUUUGGUGGGCUCUGCUGUUAGACUG